GAUCAAGUGUCUUAAGGGCAAUUGGUGGAUGCCUUGGCAUGCACAGGCGAUGAAGGACGUGAUACGCUGCGAUAAGCUACGGGGAGGUGCGAAUACCCUUUGAUCCGUAGAUCUCCGAAUGGGGAAACCCACCUAAGGUACUUGGAAAAUCAGAGCAGCAGGGCAACUGACGCGGCAAUCCCAAAAGGAUUGAGCGUGGGGCGACGAUCUCUUUGGGAUCGCGCUGUUUUUGCUGCUGUGGUUUCCAAGUAUCGAUAAUAGGUAACUUAUCCUGAAUACAUAGGGAUAAAGUGGCGAACGCGGGGAACUGAAACAUCUAAGUACCCGUAGGAAAGGACAUCAACCGAGACUCCGGAAGUAGUGGCGAGCGAACCCGGACCAGGCCAGCGGCGAUUGAGAGACAAGCGGAACCUUCUGGAAAGUUGGGCCAUAGCGGGUGACAGCCCCGUACGCGUAAUGCAAAUCAUCGUCCUUGAGUAAGGCGGGACACGUGAAAUCCUGUCUGAAAUUGGGAGGACCACCUUCCAAGCCUAAGUACUCGUGCAUGACCGAUAGCGAACUAGUACCGUGAGGGAAAGGUGAAAAGCACCCCGACAAGGGGAGUGAAAGAGUACCUGAAACCGAUUGCCUACAAACAGUGGGAGCCCGUCCUUCAAAUCGCUUGACGAUUUGAAGAACUUUUGAUUUUGCCAUCAAGAGCGCAAGCGCUUUGAUGGGCGGGUGACCACGUACCUUUUGUAUAAUGGGUCAGCGACUUAGUGUGACGAGCAAGCUUAAACCGAUAGGUGUAGGCGCAGCGAAAGCGAGUCUGAACAGGGCGUUCAGUUCGUCGCAUUAGACCCGAAACCGAGUGAUCUAGCCAUGAGCAGGCUGAAGGUAAGGUAACACUUACUGGAGGGCCGAACCCAUAACUGUUGCAAUAGUUCGGGAUGACUUGUGGCUAGGGGUGAAAGGCCAAUCAAACUCGGAAAUAGCUGGUUCUCCGCGAAAUCUAUUUAGGUAGAGCGUCGACCGAAUACCCCAGGGGGUAGAGCACUGGAUGGGCUAGGGGUCCUCACCGGAUUACCAAACCUAACCAAACUCCGAAUACCUGGGAGUACUAGUCGGCAGACACACGGCGGGUGCUAACGUCCGUCGUGAAAAGGGAAACAACCCUGACCUACAGCUAAGGUCCCCAAGUUAUGGCUAAGUGGGAAAGGAUGUGAGGAUCCCAAAACAACCAGGAUGUUGGCUUAGAAGCAGCCAUCAUUUAAAGAAAGCGUAACAGCUCACUGGUCUAAAUAAGGGUCUUUGCGCCGAAAAUGUAACGGGGCUAAAGCCAUACACCGAAGCUUAGGGUUCGUGAGCAAUCACGAGCGGUAGCGGAGCGUUCUGUAAGCCAGUGAAGCCGUACCCGUGAGGGGCGGUGGAGGUAUCAGAAGUGCGAAUGCUGACAUGAGUAACGUAAGGGGAGUGAGAGACUCCCCCGCCGAAAGACCAAGGGUUCCUGCUUAAAGUUAAUCUGAGCAGGGUUAGCCGGCCCCUAAGACGAGGCGGAAACGCGUAGUCGAUGGGAAUCACGUUAAUAUUCGUGAGCCUGGAGGUAGUGACGGAUCACACAAGUUGUCCAAUCUUAUCGGAUUGAAAGGGCAGCGGAGUGGUUCCAGGAAAUAGCUCCUCCUUAUAGACCGUACCCGAAACCGACACUGGUGGUCUGGUAGAGUAUACCAAGGCGCUUGAGAGAACUAUGCUGAAGGAACUCGGCAAAUUGCACGCGUAACUUCGGAAGAAGCGUGACCCUUUUUUGCGCAAGCAGAGGAGGGUGGCACAGACCAGGGGGUAGCGACUGUUUAUCAAAAACACAGGGCUCUGCGAAGUCGCAAGACGACGUAUAGGGUCUGACGCCUGCCCGGUGCUGGAAGGUUAAGAGGAGGGGUGCAAGCUCUGAAUCGAAGCCCCAGUAAACGGCGGCCGUAACUAUAACGGUCCUAAGGUAGCGAAAUUCCUUGUCGGGUAAGUUCCGACCUGCACGAAUGGCGUAACGACUUCCCCGCUGUCUCCAGCAUAGACUCAGUGAAAUUGAAUUCCCCGUGAAGAUGCGGGGUUCCUGCGGUUAGACGGAAAGACCCCGUGCACCUUUACUAUAGCUUUACAUUGGCAUUCGUAGUGGCAUGUGUAGGAUAGGUGGUAGGCUUUGAAGCCUGGGCGCCAGCUCAGGUGGAGCCACCCUUGAAAUACCACCCUUAUCACUAUGGAUGUCUAACCGCGGCCCGUUAUCCGGGUCCGGGACAAUGUAUGGUGGGUAGUUUGACUGGGGCGGUCGCCUCCUAAAGAGUAACGGAGGCGCGCGAUGGUGGGCUCAGAACGGUCGGAAAUCGUUCGCUGAGUGCAAUGGCAUAAGCCUGCCUGACUGCGAGACUGACAAGUCGAGCAGAGACGAAAGUCGGUCAUAGUGAUCCGGUGGUCCCG
rnacentral:rRNA from 1 species